ensembl:lncRNA
AGAGUAGGUCUGAGUAAACAUUUCUUGGGUUUGGUCACCAGAGCCAUCUUCAUAUACUGUUGUCACAACAGAGCUUUCUUCCACCUUCCCAGUAAAAGGCGUUACUGAGGGAUUUUCUGUACGACUUGUGGCUGCACUGUCAUGUUCUGUAACUGGCAGUCCUAAUGGCUUCUCUGUGCUAAACAAGGGUGAGGCUGUAGAAGCUGCAGUGCCAUCGCUGGAAAUCUCAGUUGUCUGUUCACCUGAACUCUCUUCAUCUAUUUUUGGGAAAGCAGAACUUGUCUCUGGUGUAGAUGAUAGUCUCUCAGUCUGUCUUGUGGUUGCAGUCUCUUGUGUUUCAGUUGACACUGAUGUUGGUUUCUCAGUACUGUAGAGAGAUGAAGCAGCAGUAACACCUUGCUUUAAAGUACCGCUUGUUUCAGUUUCACCUGAGGGUGUAACUGAGGGUGACUCUGUACUCAACUUUGAGGAAAUAGUAGUUUCUGUGAUGAUGGACUCUUCGGUGAAACCGGCAGUGCUAUCUCCAGAACUCUCUUCAUCAGUUGUACUGAGGAAUGAUGCUCUUUCAGGGAGCAUGGUUGAUCCACUAAAUGGAGGAAUAGACUCCACCAUUGUCGUUUCGCUACUAAUGCCUUCUUCCUCACUGUCUAAAAGGGUAGGUGAUGUAACAGGAGACGCUGUUGUUGGUGCCUCAGUGCUAUAGAGAGAGGAUUUAGCUGUGACAGAGUAGGUCUGAGUAAACAUUUCUUGGGUUUGGUCACCAGAGCCAUCUUCAUAUACUGUUGUCACAACAGAGCUUUCUUCCACCUUCCCAGUAAAAGGCGUUACUGAGGGAUUUUCUGUACGACUUGUGGCUGCACUGUCAUGUUCUGUAAGUGGCAGUCCUGUUGGCUUCUCUGUGCUAAACAAGGAUGAGGCUGUAGAAGCUGCAGUGCCAUCGCUGGAAAUCUCAGUUGUGUGUUCACCUGAACUCUCUUCAUCUAUUUUUGGGAAAGUAGAACUUGUCUCUGGUGUAGAUGAUAGUUUCUCAGUCUGUCUUGUAGUUGCAGUCUCUUGUGUUUCAGUUGACACUGAUGUUGGUUUCUCAGUACUGUAGAGAGAUGAAGCAGCAGUAACAGCUUGCUUUAAAGUACCGCUUGUUUCAGUUUCACCUGAGGGUGUAACUGAGGGUGACUCUGUACUCAACUUUGAGGAAAUAGUAGUUUCUGUGAUGACGGACUCUUUGGUGAAAUCGGCAGUGCUAUCUCCAGAACUCUCUUUAGCAGUUGUACUGAGGAAUGAUGCUCUUUCAGGGAGCAUGGUUGAUCCACUAAAUGGAGGAAUAGACUCCACCAUUGUCGUUUCACUACUAAUGCCUUCUUCCUCACUGUCUAAAAAGGUAGGUGAUGUAACAGGAGACGCUGUUGUUGGUGCCUCAGUGCUAUAGAGAGAGGAUUUAGCUGUGACAGAGUAGGUCUGAGUAAACAUUUCUUGGGUUUGAUCACCAGAGCCAUCUUCAUAUACUGUUGUCACAACAGAGCUUUCUUCCACCUUCCCAGUAAAAGGCGUUACUGAGGGAUUUUCUGUACGACUUGUGGCUGCACUGUCAUGUUCUGUAACUGGCAGUCCUGUUGGCUUCUCUGUGCUAAACAAGGAUGAGGCUGUAGAAGCUGCAGUGCCAUCGCUGGAAAUCUCAGUUGUGUGUUCACCUGAACUCUCUUCAUCUAUUUUUGGGAAAGUAGAACUUGUCUCUGGUGUAGAUGAUAGUUUCUCAGUCUGUCUUGUAGUUGCAGUCUCUUGUGUUUCAGUUGACACUGAUGUUGGUUUCUCAGUAUUGUAGAGAGAUGAAGCAGCAGUAACAGCUUGCUUUAAAGUACCGCUUGUUUCAGUUUCACCUGAGGGUGUAACUGAGGGUGACUCUGUACUCAACUUUGAGGAAAUAGUAGUUUCUGUGAUGAUGGACUCUUUGGUGAAAUCGGCAGUGCUAUCUCCAGAACUCUCUUUAGCAGUUGUACUGAGGAAUGAUGCUCUUUCAGGGAGCAUGGUUGAUCCACUAAAUAGAGGAAUAGACUCCACCAUUGUCGUUUCACUACUAAUGCCUUCUUCCUCACUGUCUAAAAAGGUAGAUGAUGUAACAGGAGACGCUGUUGUUGGUGCCUCAGUGCUAUAGGGAGAUGAUUUAGCUGUGACAGAGUAGGUCUGAGUAAACAUUUCUUGGGUUUGAUCACCAGAGCCAUCUUCAUAUACUGUUGUCACAACAGUGCUUUCUUCCACCUUCCCAGUAAAAGGCGUUACUGAGGGAUUUUCUGUACGACUUGUGGCUGCACUGUCAUGUUCUGUAACUGGCAGUCCAGUUGGCUUCUCUGUGCUAAACAAGGGUGAGGCUGUAGAAGCUGCAGUGCCAUCGCUGGAAAUCUCAGUUGUCUGUUCACCUGAACUCUCUUCAUCUAUUUUUGGGAAAGUAGAACUUGUCUCUGGUGUAGAUGAUAGUUUCUCAGUCUGUCUUGUGGUUGCAGUCUCUUGUGUUUCAGUUGACACUGAUGUUGGUUUCUCAGUACUGUAGAGAGAUGAAACAGCACUUACACCUUGCUUAGAAGUACCGCUUGUUUCGGUUUCACUUGAGGGUGUUACUGAUGGUGAGUCUGUACUCAAUUGUGAAGAAAUAGUAGUUUCAGAGAUGAUGGACUCUUUGGUGAAAUUGGAUGUUUGUUUCUCAGUACUGUAGAAUGAAGACGCUGUAGUAACACCUGGCAUUGAUGUGACACUUGGCCUUUGACCUCCAGAACUCACUUCUGCUUUUGAAG